AUGUCAUCACGCCCAAAUCCAAUCCCCUCAUCACCUCGAGCUACUUUUUCAAAUGGUUGGGUGCUGCAGAUCGACUGCGCCGAGGAGGACGGCAUCGUGGUGUUCCAGGGCGGCAGCAGGGUGAAGGCAGACGCCAUCGUGCACUACACUGGGUACAAGUACAGCUUCUCGUUCUUCGGCGACGACUCUGCUAUCACGGUGGACGACAACCACGUCGGCCCGCUGUACAAGCACGUGUUCCCGCCGCGGCUGGCCCCUAGCAUCUCCUUCGUCGGACUGCCAUUCAAGGGAUUCCUUUUCCCGGUGUUCCAGCUCCAGAGCAGCUGGGUGGCCGGGGUUCUGUCGGGGAGGAUCGAGCUCCCGUCGUCAGAGCAGAUGACGCAGGACGUGGCGUCCUUCUACUCAGACAUGGAGGCCCGCGGACACUCAAAGAGGUUCACCCACGACCUGGGCGUAGGCACAUUCGAGUACGAGGAUUGGCUGGUUGAGCGGUGCGGGCUGGAGAGGAUCGAGGAGUGGAGGAAGGAGAUCUAUGUCGCGGCGAGAGGCAGGGUGAGGGACCAGCCGGACAGCUACCGGGACAAGUGGGAUGACGACGCCCAACUGUUGGAGCAAGCGCAAUGUGAGAUCUCGCCAAGUUCUGAUCUUACCUCAUCGAGGGCUACUUGCGGUUCGGCUUAUUCGGAAAUGGAAUGGUUGAUGAUAUGA
rnacentral:rRNA from 1 species